GUCCCUGUAGCGUAAUGGAUACCGCUUUGGACUUCCAAUCCAAAAGUCAUGGAUUCAAAUCCUAUCUGGGAUG